rnacentral:rRNA from 1 species
UACGAAGGGGCUAGCGUUGUUCGGAAUUACUGGGCGUAAAGGGCGCGUAGGCGGUACUUCAAGUCAGGCGUGAAAGCCCCGGGCUCAACCUGGGAACCGCGCUUGAGACUGGAGAACUAGAGUUCGGGAGAGGAUGGUGGAAUUCCCAGUGUAGAGGUGAAAUUCGUAGAUAUUGGGAAGAACACCGAUGGCGAAGGCAGCCAUCUGGACCGACACUGACGCUGAGGCGCGAAAGCGUGGGAGCA